UCAACCCAAUGCUUCCAUAACUGGAUGAUUGCUCGCUCAAAAGAAAAGCUCCCUUGUGACACAAGACGGAACAUCUCCCUUUACUCUAGAUUAAGCCAGAGAAAAAGAGAGAGCCGUCAAUUUCUAUAAUAGUUUUCAUUGCAGCCUUUCUAGAAGCAGGGAGAAUGACAGGUAGAACCAAAAGGGAUGCUACUGACCCAUGACCUUGAAAACUAAACAAAAGUCUCUCUUUCUCGAGGAAGACUCAAAAGGAAGACUUUACGCUUACGAAUACCACAGAGACAACGCCUACUGACCCUAGACUUUCUUCCCCAUAAAAGUCAAAUGGACUCUUAGUGCCUCACUAGUUAGAACUUCAUCCAGGCCUAGACAUCUUGGACUACCCAUCAUGAACCCCUGGUUGCACAGCACACGAAGCAGGCCACAAAACCCUUCCAUACAGCCGAACAAGACUAUACAGUUACAGACUAUACUGAUAGAAAUGACCACACGACUACUAACGAAGGCAACUCGCCACUCUCUAUCUCCAUGCCCUUUACGAAGGUGCAUGCAUAGAUUUGAUAGAGCUACAACUCCAUCGGGGGGAACGAAAUGAACUAAAUUACAUGCUCUUUUACCUGCACUUUCCAGCUCCAAAAAGAGAAGCAAAAGAGUCUUGCUUUACCUAGAAAGAGCCCUACAUAGCUACUUCGGGGCUGAUUCAAUGGGUCCACACCUUCUGCGUCUCCUGCAUGGGCCUUUGAACUAUGCAUUUCCUCUUUUUAGUGAGGUUUUCAAGGAAUUUUGAUUUCGAUUAUCCAACUCAACCAUAACUUGAAUGUGUCGCUAGACACUAGUCACUAAGCCUGACCUUUGUGCCGUACGGUAGGACAAGGCUGUAUUGCGUAGGAUCAAUGGAAUCUGAUUCCCACCCUAAUACUAGCGAAGACAUUCCUUGAAGGGUCACCACUUCCUAUGUGCUUUAGAUCACCGGUUCUCGCGAAUUUGAACUAGGGAUUUUACACCCUAGUGUCCUAUACUUGUAUAUAGGCUUCCUACAAACGUAAGCACUAACACGGGAGACACACGACCUGUUCUUUGGAAAAACAAAACUUCCAUCGAUUUUACUUGGAUUCCAUCACGUGCCACUGGCGAGCCACCCUCCACAACUUCCUCUAUGCCUGCGCUUGGUUCUCAUGCACUAGGUGCACCCUUAGCGAUGGAGGCACGUUCCUAUCCUAAGAGCUUACCUUCCAUCUAACAUCCUAAACAGAGCGAGGAAGUUUGAGGGGUCACUCCGUCGGUAGAGCCCAUCUAGCGGCAUCGUGGCCUACAGCAAUUACUCAGAGGGAAGUCACCGCGGUUAAGGUACAACGACUUGACCCAGGUGUGCUAGUUCCUUUCUUUUGCCAAGAAACGAGAAUUGUUUCAAAAUCGCCGACACUAGCGACUCCCUUCAGUAUGGGACCAAAAUGAAUCUAAGGCGAACCUUUCUGCUACCCGUGCCAAAAGACCUCCCAAAGAAUAGGGCUCAUGCUUUUCAUGAGAUCUCUAGUUAAGUGAAGAAUGCGAUCUCACCGACUUCUGUCGAAAGCAAUCUAGCAGAGCGAGUCAAAUCCCUUGUCUCCUUUUUGAAAGGAAAGCACUCUUUCUCUGAAACGACCUACAAGCACAGUUGGGACGACUUGGAUGUUCAUUCAGUACAGUUGCAGCAUUGGAGCUCAUGAGAAAACCAAUCGUGACUUCUCAUGAGACAUUGAACAAGAGCACAAAGAAAGAAAGCCUCUUCCGGAAAGACCCAUCUGUAGCAGUUUAAGAACAGAGUCUGAUGGUUCCAACACAAUCUCGAUUUCAAAAGAACUACAAACACACGCAACGAACAAACUACUAGAAACAACCCAACCCUGACAGNNNNNNNNNNNNNNNNNNNNGACAAUCCUGAAUCCAGCUCAAUCUUUGGGAAGGCUUGCCGACCUUGCCAUCCCUUGCUGCUUUGCUUCAAAUUCAUGUGGUCUCGGCCGAUUGAUCUAUCUCUGGCCGGUAGAGAAUCAUUUGAAUCUCCUCCUUCAAUGGUUGUUGAGUAGGCACACGAGGGAAAGGAGGUAGCCUAUCCCUAUGCUGGUUAUGAACCGUAGAUAUUUAUUCCGUGCGUGAAGUAAUCGAGUCACGAUUCCAGCUGCUACUGCCGCUCGACCAGCCUUUCUUUUUUUUUUUUGCCUGAGGAGAAUGAAUCGAGGUUCUUAUCUCAUCGAGGGAUGGCACUCGA
rnacentral:lncRNA from 1 species